CCCUAUGGGGUGCAGCAGGCAAUAGAACCAUGAAUAGGGCUACCGUCAGCAGAACUGCUGUGAUUCGCCGUCUGGCCUUCAUCUCACUUUUCCCGCCUCGCUUAAUCUGAAUAGGAUUAUGCCGGAGGGAGGUAUUCUUCUCCGGCGAUUUUUCUCCGAUUCUGCUGCUAUUCUCAUCGAUCGGUUCUAUCGAUCAUCAGAAUGCUUCAUACUGCAAGACAGCCUUCUCCUCCUCGGAUCCCUCUUGGGAGGCGAAGCUUAUGGAGGCAUCUUCAUCAGCCACCAAAACCACUGAGAAGGAACAGCCCUCGCUGCACUCUACUGCCGCCUUUUUCACAAAAUCUGUAGCAUCCCAGGUCUGCCAGC
rnacentral:rRNA from 1 species